GGUAGGUGCUGGGAAUUGAAUCCAGGUCCUCUAGAAGACUAGUCAGCACUUCCAACCACUGAGCCAUCUCUGCAGCCCCACCCAGGGCUUCCUGCAUGCUGAACAAGCACUCUACCAACUGAGCUACAACUCC
rnacentral:sRNA from 1 species